AUGACCAUGGGUAAAGGCCCCAGGAGCUGGGCUCGCCCCAGACAGACGGGGCGCCGGCAUCUCCUCCACCUGGGAAGCCAAAGGGCCCAGGUGGGGGGAAGGCGGGGCGGGCGGGGCGGCGCCGGCUCGCGCGGGAUCCCGCCCCUGUGCGGCGGGCGCUGGGGUCACGUCGGUGGAAGUGCGGGGCCUGCGAGUCGCCCAGAACCGGGGCGCACGGGCUGGGAGAUGGCGCGCCGCGGACAGGCGGUUCCGUCCCGCCGGGCCCUGGGUCCCCCGCCGCUGCCCGCGGGGUCGUUGCUCCCAAGGCCAGAGGGCCAAGUUCACCUCCGGGGCCGACGUCCUGGGCUCCCCAGCCUCGCGCCCCUCCCACCCCGAAAAGGAGCUGCCCAAGAGCAGGCAGGUCCUCGGGGGACGCUCCCCGCGUCGCCCGGCCCACGGACCUCUCCCAGGACCCGGGGAGAAGCGGCCCACGUCCCGGGCGCAGUGAGAGCUCAGAGGUCCCGCGCACAGCCCCGGAUUCAGGGGAACGGGAAGGACUUCCAGUGCCAGGAACCGGCACCCCGCCGCGGCCACCGCCCUCCGCCCCUGCGCCCCGCCCCCACUCACCGCGCCCCCAAGUCCUGGCGAAGCUGGGGUGACCCGGCCCUCCGCGCGUCCUGGAACACGGAGCUCAGCUGCGGACAGGGCCGGCGCACAGCGCUCCGGAGCCGGGCGCUCAGGGCGGGGGACCCUGAGCGGGGCGGGGCGGGGCUCAGCGGAGGGUGCGGGGCGCAGCCCAGGCACCGGCCUUAAAGGUCCGGGGACGCAAACUCGGACACGGGUCCAGAGCGCGGAGCUGCAGGGAGGAGCUGGGGCAGCCGGAGCGGCGCGCGCCUCCGGUUUCUCGCGGUGCGCAUGCUGUCCCGGGCGCGCGGCGGUCUGUCUGGGGGCUGCCCUGAAGACCCCCCGCCCCGGGAAGAGGGUUCCCACUCACCACGCCGCCCCCAGCCAUUGCGGAUCCACCCCGUUGGAGCCGGCGCCCACCCGGGCCCAUUCCAGGUCAAGCUGCCUUCGGGCCCACGGCGCUAAGGUCUGAAGCGGCAGAGACGCCCUGAGCCCCCUGCGCGUUUCUAACCCGGGUUUGUCCCAGGACAGAAGCUGCUUCAUCGGAAGCAAGCCUUCCUUGCAGACGCGCGCGCAUGCACGCACACUCACAGGCUGCCGGUCCCCGCCGCGCGGCCGCAUCGCCUCGGUGUGCACCAACGACAGGGGAGAGCGCGAGCCACGGCAAGAAGGCGAGUGCCGGCCGGGGUUGCUCGCACGUUCGGGCGCACUGGAGGGAACCAGAAGAAGCCAGGUAGGAGCUGCCCCUUUCCAGGGAUGAGACGCCCGGAGCGGGCAGAGAUGAGCGUGUGCGGAGCCCAUGGUGUCCAUAGGCUGCGAGGAUUCUAGGAGAGUCCUAGAGAAGCCGUGAGCCAGCCUCAGGUGAGAAGGCUCAGUGGCGGGGGCGGCUGCAGUCCUGCCCGCCCUUCCGCACCCCUGCAGCGCCCUGCCUCCCUCCACGGCCACCGUCACCCCAGGUGCCCGCCACACAGGGCAGAGCACCCGCAAGCAAGCAAAGCCUCUCUGCUCUUGUGGAAGUGGGUGCCAACCCUGGCUGGCAGAUCCCUUACCCGAAAUGCUUGCAACCAGCAGUGCUUUGGAUUUCAGAUUUUGGAAUGUCCGCAAACAUAAAGAGAUACCUUGGGGGGUGGGAUCGAUUCUAAACGCAAAAUCCCGGCACUUCCCAUCCGUACCUUAUGCACAGAGCCCGAAGGUAAUUUUGCGAAGUAUUUUUAGUGCACCUGCUUUCAAGUGUGACAUGUCCCAUGAGGUCAGGUGUGGAAUCUUCCACUCGUGACAUCAUGUUGGUGCUCAAGACAUUUUGCAUUUUGGAGCAUUUCAGCGUUUUGGACCGGGGAGCUCAGUCUGUGAUAGCCGCACGCUCCAAGGGCUCUCAGUGUGCCACAUACCACCCUAACCCUCCCUCAGAGAAGCUCAUCCCGUCUUCAAACAAUCCUUUGGGAUCAGUACUCGCACUGCCCCAUUUACAGGUGAGGAACCUGAGGACGGAAAGGUGAAACUUGGCUAGCAUCCCAGGGAGGACGGGCAGCCCCAGCACCAGACCCAAGCCGUCACACCACCAAGCCCCCGCUGCUGUCUUGCCUCAGCUUAGCGAACUGUUUAGCUUCUCCGAGCUGCGUCCUUGUGUAUCAGACAGCGUCAGGUGCGUGGGAGGGAUGCCACAAUACUGUGGACUGAGUGAGUGGACAGCACCACACAGCAUCCGGUGCCGGAGUUGCUCACCGUAGUGGAGCAGCUACCGGGUGCCAGGCUUUAAGGAAGCGCUGGUUCCCUGCCCCUGCAGGUGCACACCUGGGACCACUUCCCUCGGAGCGCCCCUCCUUGCUCUUCUUCAGAACCUCUAACACUUGCCUUGACCCAAGCAGUUAGCAGUCAAAUCAACACUUUGGAGAUGGACAUAAGCCAAUUCUUGCCCGCACCCUCCAGAAGGUCACACCAGGUCCAGGCCUUAUUUGUUCUUCCACCUUUAAGGGUGUCUGUGUAAACAAGGACUGGUUCGCAAAGGUCUGUCCAUUUGUGCGGGUCUGUCGUGCCCUAGCUUGGCCAGGUGUGAGGACUCUGGGGCCACCCAGCGUCUGAGGUCCACCCGCCUCCACUCACACCCCUCACCUGAGAGCUGGAGCUGUGUUUGGAGAAAGGGAGCUGCAGCGUGGAGAGCUCCCACAUCCUCCAGGAAGCCUUUGGGCACUGAGUUUAACCACAGAGGCCCAGAGCUGGUUGGCGCCUGCUUGGCCUCCUGCCCCCGACGAGAAAAAUGAACGCAAUGAAGUGUUUGAGAAACCUCCAGGUCCGAAUCCAUGGGAAGGCCCAGCCAGGAACCCAGGACUGGGGUCUCCAUCGUGUCCAAAAGCGAGAAUUUAAAAGGAGGAUGAAAAAGUCCCUGAGCUGCACAGUGGUGCUGCUGCACGGCGCUGUGAUGUUCUACCAUCUGCCGAAGGCCACACGCUGUACGAGAGUGAGACUGGGGGUAGGUGGAUCUCAGGUUCAAAGAGGUGCAGGGAAGGGUGGGGGCCGUGCUGUGGUGUAAGCAGGUUAAGCUGCUGCCUGCAAUGCUGGCAUCCCGUGAGCAUCGGGCCCUGUCCCUGCCGCCCCACUUCUGACCCAGCUCCCUGCUAAUGAGCCUGGGAAAAGCAGCAGACGAUGGCCCAAGUGCUGGGGCCCCUGCUACCCAUGUGGGGGACUCAAAUGAAGCUCUUGGCUCAUGGCUUCAUCCUGGCCCAACCCUGGCAUUGUGGUCAUCUGGGGAGUGAACCAGUGAAUGGAAGAUCUCUCUCUCCCUCUCUCUCCCUCCUUACCUCCCUUCCUCUCUGUAACUUUGACUUUCUAAUAAAUAAAUAGACCUUAAAAAAGUUGGGGGUAAG
rnacentral:lncRNA from 1 species